rnacentral:tRNA from 2 species
GCGGAAAUAGCUCAGUGGUAGAGUACUGCCUUGCCAAGGCAGGUGUCGAGGGUUCGAAUCCCUUUUUCCGCU